UUCCAAGUGCUACUUACUUCCUCUUCUCCUUCCUCUUUCCAUUUUUACUUUGCAAUUUUUUCCUUCCUCUGUUCUGUUGGAUUGAGAAUUUUCCAUUUUCGGGAAUUAGCUCCAGAUUUUGAGAAUUUCCCUCCUCGUUGAAUGAGAAAUAUUUUGGUGCACGUAUUUGUUUGAUAAUUGCUUCUAGUUUUGAAUGAGAAAUAUUGCACAUGACCUGUUUGAUAAAUUGCUUCUACUUUUGAAUAUAAAAUAUUGCACAUGAGUCAUUUGAUAAAUUGCUCUUGUUUUUGAAUGAGAAAUAUUGCACAUGAUCUGUUUGAUAAAUUCCGAAGCUCCUUUGGAAGUUAAUUAUCUCAAUGUCUGAAAAAAAGGAUAGGAAUUAUUUUAAAAUUUGUUUGGCUGAUAAUUGAAGAGACUAUGAUGCACUGCAUUGCCAUUGUAAUAUAAUGAGAGAGUUAAGUCGGCAAUAAGAAUAAACAAAACGAGUGUGGUGCUAUGUUUGCUUUAAUAACUUUUUUGUUUGUUUCUUUCUGCUCAAGAAGCUUCUUGAAAUAUUUGUUGAUAUAUAAGAGAAAUUUUUCUAUAUUAAUACUUUCUCUGAGCAUUUGUUGAUUACUUUGGGCCUUUGGGGUUUCACUUGGCGGGUGGAAGGAGAAUGGAAAACGAGCAACAAGAAGUAAAGGUUUUAACAACUGGCAAGUUCACAUGGACCAUUAACAACUUCUUUACUAGUCAGGUUGCCAUCAGAUUUUUCUACUCCGACACCUUCUUCGUCGGCCCCUAUUCCUGGCAGAUAGCUAUAUAUCCAGGUAUCAACAUUUAUUUACGAGGCUUAUUGGUAGAUCGAUUGUAUGCUGGGGACAUUGAUAAUGUUCCUGUUGGGUGGAGAUCUCUUAACUUCAAGCUCUCUUUAGUUGAUUAGCUUCAAGGCAAAUCCACGAUAAUAAAAGAUGUAUUUUUGGUGGAUAAAUCUCCUCUAUCCUACUUCUUGGAAGAAAUGCAAAAUGGAAAUUCUUUACGGAGUACAACAACACUUGGAAAUGAAAAAGAACGAGAGAGAGUCUAUGACACUAUCUUUCGCUUGCCAUGGAGAUGCGAAUUGGUACACUUCCUUUUUCUCGAUUGAAAAUGGGAAGAUAAUUUGAAAUGACUCUAGUUAUAGUUUUGUGUUGUCGUUUAUGGAUAUGUGUUCCUGGUUUAGCUGCCUAUAUUACCUUCACAAUAGUUGGAAUAAACUAAGAAGUUUCAGGGAAAAAUGAAAAACAUUAAACCUUCCCUUACCCUUGCUAACAUAUAGUAGCAUAUUCUACUAGUGCAUUUUCUGUUGUGGCAACUCAAACACAGAAUGUAAUUGCAGCUUAUUGAUGUUGGCUGCUUUGUUUGCUUCAAUUCAUUUCUUUCAUUAUUAACUAUCAUGCCAACAAGAAUCAUCAUGACCGCUUGGAAGCUUCUAAAGACAAGGUUUGUCACCUUUACUAAAUUUUCUUCCCUCAAAAUAAAAUGUUAGUUGGGCAUGCAUGUGGGAUUUUAGGUUAUAGAAAAUUCAAAAUUCCGCAGCAUUUAUUUCUUCAAUUUGAGUUAGUGAUUUAGGCAGUGUCCAUCUGUUGCAAUCAUCUUUUUUUUGGAUAGAAUCCAUCUAUUACAAUCUUACUAAUGCCUUUAAAUAUCUGUAGAUCUUUGAAUGAUGAGUGCGAAAUGAAUGUGUGAACCGUGUCAUCCUAGAUUAAGCAGUUGGUCCAAAUCUAGUUAGACAGUGGAUAUGGUAUUGGCCCUGAAUUUUUGAACUUUAUCUAGACUGUAUUAGUCGCUGACUCUUUCAGCUGAAUAUAAGACCAGUCUCUGUUACUACAAAAUCAACUUGUUCUUGUACUUUGAUUAGUAUCCUCUUGUUCAUCCCAAUUCUUGUGUUCAGUUUUAAAAAAUGUUGUAGUCCAUCAAUUUUAGUAUUAUAAUUUGACCUUAUCAUGCUUGUGCCAGGCAGUUCAAGAGGUUGUCUGCUAUGAAAUUAUUAGAUUUUGGCUGCUUUCUUAUUAUGAGUUGUGGAGUCAUUCUUCUGCAACAGACAGGUCUUCUGAUUCUCUGCUCCUAUGGUCAUAUGUUAUAUCAUUAAUUUUUGUGUUGAUCAGCUAUAAAUCUAUAUACUGAAUUUGUUUUAUUCAUCCUUAAAAUCAUGCUGCCUCAGAUAUCAGCUUAAUAUAUCAUAUGAUCCGUGGUCAAGGAACAAUCAAAUUAUAUGUGGUCUACAAUGUUUUAGAGAUGAAUGUUCAUGUGAGAAAGAUGUUGGCUUGACAAUGGAAGGGAACUAAUUCAAGUCAGAAAUCAGUGUCAAUAUGCUAUGCUAUCUCUAUGUUUUUAUUUUUCAUAAACACAAAUUUGAGUGGCAGUAUCCCUGCUCUUCCAAAGAAGUACAUACACCAUUGUUUGUAGCAAACCUGAGUUAGUGACAAUUGGCAGGAAGCUCAAAAUUUAUAUGCAAGAAGGGAUGUGGAAAAAUAAUAGUGUUGCCUCGGCUUAGGUCCAAUUUGGGCUAUGCAAAUUGAAAAUGUAACUAAAAAGAGCAGGAUGUAUGUUCUAUAAUGGAAUACACGAGUAAUAGUUAUAUAACAUGAAUCGGAGGCCUUUGGUCAUUUAACCAUCCAGUCAAAAGCUACUGGAAUUAUAAUCAA